rnacentral:rRNA from 1 species
UACGUAGGGGGCAAGCGUUGUCCGGAUUUAUUGGGCGUAAAGAGCGUGUAGGCGGUUAGGUAGGUCCGUUGUGAAAACUCGAGGCUCAACCUCGAGACGCCGAUGGAAACCAUCUGACUAGAGUCCGGAAGAGGUGAGUGGAACUCCGAGUGUAGAGGUGAAAUUCGUAGAUAUUCGGAAGAACACCAGUGGCGAAGGCGGCUCACUGGUCCGGUACUGACGCUGAGGUGCGAAAGCGUGGGGAGCAAACAGGG